CAAUGCCUACGGGAGGCGGCAGUAGGGAAUUUUCAUCAAUGGGCGCAAGCCUGAACGAGCGAUGCCGCGUGAGUGAAGAAGGCCUUCGGGUCGUAAAGCUCUGUUGCGGGGGAAAAAAGGCAGCAUCAGGAAAUGGGUGCUGACUGAUGGUGCCCCGCCAGAAAGUCACGGCUAACUACGUGCCAGCAGCCGCGGUAAUACGUAGGUGGCGAGCGUUAUCCGGAAUGAUUGGGCGUAAAGGGUGCGCAGUCGGUCCUGCAAGUCUGGAGUGAAACGCUUGAGCUCAACUCAUGCAUGGC
rnacentral:rRNA from 1 species